UACGGGGGGGGCAAGCGUUGUUCGGAAUUACUGGGCGUAAAGGGCUCGUAGGCGGCCAACUAAGUCGGAUGUGAAAUCCCCAGGCUUAACCUGGGAACUGCAUCCGAUACUGGAUGGCUUGAAUCCGGGAGAGGGAUGCGGAAUUCCAGGUGUAGCGGUGAAAUUCGUAGAUAUUCGGAGGAACACCAGUGGCGAAGGCGGACUCGCUGGACAGACAUUGACGCUGAGGUGCGAAAGCGUGGGGAGCAAACAGG
rnacentral:rRNA from 1 species